UACGUAGGAUGCGAGCGUUAUCCGGAUUUAUUGGGUUUAAAGGGUGCGUAGGCGGGAUGCCAAGUCAGCGGUAAAAAUGCGGUGCUCAACGCCGUCGAGCCGUUGAAACUGGCGUUCUUGAGUGGAUGAGAAGUACGCGGAAUGCGUGGUGUAGCGGUGAAAUGCAUAGAUAUCACGCAGAACUCCGAUUGCGAAGGCAGCGUACCGGCAUCCAACUGACGCUGAGGCACGAAAGCGUGGGGAUCAAACAGG
rnacentral:rRNA from 1 species